ACGACAAAGGCAAACCGGACGCAAGUCCGGGGCGCAAAGCCACGGGCCCCUUGUGGGUAGCCGGGUUACCGAA
rnacentral:ncRNA from 1 species